UAAGUAGGAGGUAAGCGUUGUCCGGCCUUAUUGGGCGGAAAGCGCGCGCAGGCGGCCUCUUAAGUCUGAUGUGAAAGCCCCCGGCUCAACCGGGGAGGGCCAUUGGAAACUGGGAGGCUUGAGUAUAGGAGAGAAGAGUGGAAUUCCACGUGUAGCGGUGGAAUGCGUAGAGAUGUGGAGGAACACCGGUGGCGAAGGCGACUCUUUGGCCUAUAACUGACGCUGAGGCGCGAAAGCGUGGGGAGCAAACAGG
rnacentral:misc_RNA from 1 species